UCCUACGGGAGGCAGCAGUGGGGAAUCUUGCGCAAUGGGGGAAACCCUGACGCAGCGACGCCGCGUGGAGGAUGAAGGCCUUCGGGUUGUAAACUCCUUUUCUCAGGGAAAAUGGUGAUGGUACCUGAGGAAUAAGCACCGGCUAACUCCGUGCCAGCAGCUGCGGUAAUACGGAGGGUGCAAGCAUUAAUCGGAUUUAUUGGGCGUAAAGGGCGCGUAGGCGGGGAUAAAAGUCAGAUGUGAAAUCCCGGGGCUCAACCUCGGAACAGCAUUUGAAACUCUAUCUCUAGAGGGUAGGCGGAGAAAACGGAAUUCCACAAGUAGCGGUGAAAUGCGUAGAUAUGUGGAAGAACACCGGUGGCGGAGGCGGUUUUCUAGCUUAUUCCUGACGCUGAGGCGCGAAAGCAAGGGGAUCAAACAGGAUUAGAUACCCGAGUAGUCCAAGCCG
rnacentral:rRNA from 1 species